rnacentral:rRNA from 1 species
UACGUAGGUGGCAAGCGUUAAUCGGAAUUACUGGGCGUAAAGCGUGCGCAGGCGGCUUUGCAAGACAGAUGUGAAAUCCCCGGGCUCAACCUGGGAACUGCAUUUGUGACUGCAUGGCUGGAGUGCGGCAGAGGGGGAUGGAAUUCCGCGUGUAGCAGUGAAAUGCGUAGAUAUGCGGAGGAACACCGAUGGCGAAGGCAAUCCCCUGGGCCUGCACUGACGCUCAUGCACGAAAGCGUGGGGAGCAAACAGG